GAUGAACGCUAGCGGCAGGCUUAAUACAUGCAAGUCGAGGGGCAUCAAGGUACACGAAAGUGUAUUGUUGGCGACCGGCGGACGGGUGAGUAAUAGGUAGGUAACCUACCUCAUACUGAGGCAUAGCUGGGAGAAAUUCCAGGUAAUUCCUCAUGAGGUUAUAUGACACAUGUGAUAUAAUCAAAGGUAUCGCAAGGUACUGGUAUGAGAUGGGUUACUGACCAUUAGCUAGUUGGUGAGAUAAGAGCUCACCAAGGCGAAGAUGGUUAGGGGUUUUGAGAGAGAGAUCCCCCACAUUGGAACUGAGAUACAGUCCAGACUCCUACGGGAGGCAGCAGUAGGGAAUAUUGGGCAAUGGGCGAAGCCUGACCCAGCCAUGCCGCGUGAAGGAAGACGGCCUUAUGGGUUGUAAAACUUCUUUACUAUGCGACUAACUAGAUUUACGAGAUAAUUCUAUAGAAUGUAGCAUAGCAAAAAGCACCGGA
rnacentral:rRNA from 1 species